UGAGCUUGCUUCAAUUGCCGGCGACCGGCGCACGGGUGAGUAACGCGUAUCCCUCCUUCCGCUUACUCGGGGAUAGCCUUUCGAAAGAAAGAUUCCUUCCGAUGGUAUCUUAAGCACGCAUGAGAUUAAGAUUAAAGAUUUAUCGGUAAGCGAUGGGGAUGCGUUCCAUUCGGCAGUUGGCGGGGUAACGGCCCACCAAACCUACGAUGGAUAGGGGUUCUGAGAGGAAGGUCCCCCACAUUGGAACUGAGACACGGUCCAAACUCCUACGGGAGGCAGCAGUGAGGAAUAUUGGUCAAUGGGCGAGAGCCUGAACCAGCCAAGUAGCGUGAAGGAUGACGGCCCUACGGGUUGUAAACUUCUUUUGUGCGGGAAUAAAGGAACCUACGUGUAGGUUUUUGCAUGUACCGUAACGAAUAAGCAUCGGCUAACUCCGUGCCAGCAGCCGCGGUAAUACGGAGGAUGCGAGCGUUAUCCGGAUUUAUUGGGUUUAAAGGGAGCGUAGACGGGUUUUUAAGUCAGCUGUGAAAGUUUGGGGCUCAACCUUAAAAUUGCAGUUGAAACUGGAGACCUUGAGUACGGUUGAGGCAGGCGGAAUUCGUGGUGUAGCGGUGAAAUGCUUAGAUAUCACGAAGAACUCCGAUUG
rnacentral:rRNA from 1 species